rnacentral:misc_RNA from 1 species
GUGAGUCAUCGAAUCUUUGAACGCAAAUUGCGCCUGAGGCUUGCCGAAGGCAUGCCUGUCUCAGCGUCGUCUUCACCCCUCCACUCCCUUUCUGGGUUGUGGGACCUGGCUGUCUCAGCUCUUAGAGCUGGGUCCGCCGAAGAGCAGAGGCCCGAACAGGACCCUCUAACAAAGGGCAACAGUCUGGUAGGCGACUCGUCGCAUGCCGCUGGUGCCCCGGGACUGCUGCACGGCCCGCAGGAAGAGUUCCUAACAAAGGAACUCAACUCUUUCAUCGACCUGAGAUCAGGCAGGAGCACC